CCGCGGGAUUAGAGUUUGAUCCUGGCUCAGAAUCAACGCUGGCGGCGUGCCUAACACAUGCAAGUCGCACGAGAAAGGUUAGCAAUACCUGAGUACAGUGGCGCACGGGUGAGUAACACGUGAAUAAUCUACCUCCGAGUGGGGAAUAACUGAGAGAAAUCUUAGCUAAUACCGCAUAACACUUACGAGUCAAAGCAGCAAUGCGCUUGGAGAGGAGUUCGCGGCAGAUUAGUUAGUUGGCGGGGUAAUGGCCCACCAAGACGAUGAUCUGUAUCCGGCCUGAGAGGGCGCACGGACACACUGGAACUGAAACACGGUCCAGACUCCUACGGGAGGCAGCAGUGGGGAAUUUUGCGCAAUGGGGGAAACCCUGACGCAGCAACGCCGCGUGGAGGAUGAAAUCCCUUGGGAUGUAAACUCCUUUCGAUCGGGAAGAUAAUGACGGUACCGAGAGAAGAAGCCCCGGCUAACUUCGUGCCAGCAGCCGCGGUAAUACGAGGGGGGCAAGCGUUGUUCGGAAUUAUUGGGCGUAAAGGGUGCGUAGGCGGUUUGAUAAGUUUCAUGUGAAAUCUUCGGGCUCAACCCGAAGCCUGCAUGGAAAACUGUCGGGCUUGAGUAUGGGAGAGGUGAGUGGAAUUUCCGGUGUAGCGGUGAAAUGCGUAGAUAUCGGAAGGAACACCUGUGGCGAAAGCGGCUCACUGGACCAUAACUGACGCUGAUGCACGAAAGCUAGGGGAGCAAACAGGAUUAGAUACCCUGGUAGUCCUAGCCCUAAACGAUGAUUGCUUGAUGUGGUGGGU
rnacentral:rRNA from 1 species